rnacentral:rRNA from 1 species
UCCCCUUUAGCUAGCGCGCGAGCGAAGCGGGAAGAGCUCAAAUUUAUAAUCUGGCACCUUCGGUGUCCGAGUUGUAAUCUCUAGAAAUGUUUUCCGCGUUGGACCGCACACAAGUCUGUUGGAAUACAGCGGCAUAGUGGUGAGACCCCCGUAUAUGGUGCGGACGCCCAGCGCUUUGUGAUACAUUUUCGAAGAGUCGAGUUGUUUGGGAAUGCAGCUCAAAUUGGGUGGUAAAUUCCAUCUAAAGCUAAAUAUUGGCGAGAGACCGAUAGCGAACAAGUACCGUGAGGGAAAGAUGAAAAGCACUUUGGAAAGAGAGUUAACAGUACGUGAAAUUGUUGGAAGGGAAACGCUUGAAGUCAGACUUGCUUGCCGAGCAAUCGGUUUGCAGGCCAGCAUCAGUUUUCCGGGAUGGAUAAUGGUAGAGAGAAGGUAGCAGUUUCGGCUGUGUUAUAGCUCUCUGCUGGAUACAUCUUGGGGGACUGAGGAACGCAGUGUGCCUUUGGCGGGGGUUUCGACCUCUUCACACUUAGGAUGCUGGUGGAAUGGCUUUAAACGACCCGUCUUGAACACCGGACACAA